UACAGAGGGGGCAAGCGUUAUUCGGAAUUAUUGGGCGUAAAGGGCGCGUAGGCGGCAUGGCAAGUGGAUGGUGAAAUCCCUCGGCUUAACCGAGGAACUGCCGUCCAAACUGCUUCGCUUGAGACCGGGAGAGGUGAGUGGAAUUCCCAGUGUAGCGGUGAAAUGCGUAGAUAUUGGGAGGAACACCAGUGGCGAAGGCGGCUCACUGGACCGGAACUGACGCUGAGGCGCGAAAGCGUGGGGAGCAAACGGG
rnacentral:rRNA from 1 species